GACGAACGCUGGCGGCGUGCCUAAUACAUGCAAGUCGAACGCUGAAGAGAGGAGCUUACUCUUCUUGGAUGAGUUGCGAACGGGUGAGUAACGCGUAGGUAACCUGCCUUGUAGCGGGGGAUAACUAUUGGAAACGAUAGCUAAUACCGCAUAACAAUGGAUGACACAUGUCAUUUAUUUGAAAGGGGCAAUUGCUCCACUACAAGAUGGACCUGCGUUGUAUUAGCUAGUAGGUGAGGUAAUGGCUCACCUAGGCGACGAUACAUAGCCGACCUGAGAGGGUGAUCGGCCACACUGGGACUGAGACACGGCCCAGACUCCUACGGGAGGCAGCAGUAGGGAAUCUUCGGCAAUGGGGGCAAACCUGACCGAGCAACGCCGCGGGAGGGAAGAAGGGUGUCGGAUCGGAAAGCUCUGUUGUAAGUCAAGAACGGGUGUGAGAGUGGAAAGUUCACACUGUGACGGUAGCUUACCAGAAAGGGACGGCUAACUACGUG
rnacentral:rRNA from 1 species